AACGUAGGGGACAAGCGUUAUCCGGAUUUACUGGGCGUAAAGCGCCCGUAGGCGGCCUGACAAGUUGGACGUGAAAGCUCCUGGCUUAACUGGGAGAGGCCGUUCAAAACUGUCAAGCUAGAGUCUGGAAGAGGAGAGCGGAAUUCCCGGUGUAGUGGUGGAAUUCGUAGAUAUUGGGAAGAACACCGGUGGCGAAGGCGGCCAACUGGACCACAACUGACGCUGAGGCGCGAAAGCGUGGGGAGCAAACAGG
rnacentral:rRNA from 1 species